GGCUCAGAGUGAACGCUGGCGGCGUGCUUAACACAUGCAAGUCGAACGAGAACGGAUUAUAGCUUGCUAUAAUUGUCAGCUAAGUGGCGCACGGGUGAGUAAUGUAUAGAUAACCUGCCCUCUAGAAAGGAAUAACAGUUGGAAACGACUGCUAAUGCCCUAUAUGCCUUUAAUACAUAAGUAUGCAAGGGAAACGCUUUAGUGCUAGAGGAUGGGUCUGUAUGGUAUCAGUUAGUUGGUGAGGUAAUGGCUCACCAAGACUAUGACGCCUAACUGGUUUGAGAGGAUGAUCAGUCACACUGGAACUGAGACACGGUCCAGACUCCUACGGGAGGCAGCAGUGGGGAAUAUUGCACAAUGGACGAAAGUCUGAUGCAGCAACGCCGCGUGGAGGAUGACACAUUUCGGUGCGUAAACUCCUUUUAUAUAGGAAGAUAAUGACGGUACUAUAUGAAUAAGCACCGGCUAACUCCGUG
rnacentral:rRNA from 1 species